CUACGUGCCAGCAGCCGCGGUAAUACAGAGGGUGCAAGCGUUAAUCGGAAUUACUGGGCGUAAAGCGAGCGUAGGUGGUCAUUUAAGUCAGAUGUGAAAUCCCCGGGCUUAACCUGGGAACUGCGUUCUGAACUGGGUGACUAGAGUAGGUGAGAGGGAAGUAGAAUUCCAGGUGUAGCGGUGAAAUGCGUAGAGAUYUGGAGGAAUACCGAUGGCGAAGGCAGCCUCCUGGGAUAACACUGACGUUCAUGCUCGAAAGCGUGGGUAGCAAACAGGAUUAGAUACCCUGGUAGUCCACGCCCUAAACGAUGUCAAUUAGCUGUUGGGCAACUUGAUUGCUUAGUAGCGUAGCUAACGCGUGAAAUUGACCGCCUGGGGAGUACGGUCGCAAGAUUAAAACUCAAAGGAAUUGACGGGGACCCGCACAAGCGGUGGAUGAUGUGGAUUAAUUCGAUGCAACGCGAAGAACCCUACC
rnacentral:rRNA from 1 species